CUAUCACCCAUGGAUUGUAAUACAUUCAACUUCAAAGGACGGAAUUUACUGCUAUUUUUGGGCUUUGUUCGCUACUGACAACUGAACAUACCUGGACAGUUUAAAAAAACAACGUUCAGAAUUGGGUAAAGCAAAUGGUGAACACAGAAUGCUAAUCUCUAAAACAAACAAACAAAACAUGUACCACCAAACAACUUUAUUAAGAUCACAAGACUUUGAAUCCUGGUCCGUUCACACCCUUUUACUUUCACAGCCUACACGUUCGUUUAUUUUGAGUAACCAUAUGCCGGAUAAACAAAAAGUGUUCAAAAUUUUGAAAAACAUAUGGUUUGGUAUAACAAGAAAACCUCACUAAUGUUCAAAAAUGUUCAAAAACAUUUCUCACAAAACCCUCC
rnacentral:lncRNA from 1 species